AUGCCAUCUUUGUUUUGGGCAAAACCGCCGGGACUAAGUAGUCCCCAUCACGCAAGUGUCUGAACAUUCCUGUAGGACGCCUCUUAAUUGAAUCAUGUUGAAACCCAUUUUCAUCUUUACAAUGGUCAGAAGGCCAGGAGCUUAAGCGCAACGUGAGCCUCCUUCAUAGGGGAAGUUAAGUUCCCCGCCAGGAGCAUUUUCGCUUCGGAAAAGGGGGCUGAAGUCGCGGCGCUACUUUCAGACUACGGAGGGGCGUCAGGGUCAAACCUAACCGACUCGGGCGAGUUGCUACGUAAAGCUCACAGCGGCGCGUUUCUGGUCGGGACUUGUGGAGCGCUGGGGUCUCAGGGAGCGUUGCUGACGGGCUCCGCCUCGGGGAGACCGGACGGGAGCGACCGCCAUAGACCUUCCCUGAACCCGCGGGGGGUUCUCUUUGUUAACCUCGGGACCUCGCGCCCCCUCCUGGCGACAUUUACUCGGCUCUACGUCACCCGGUCUCGAAAGGAUCUGUUUCCGGGCCAGGAGCUACAAGUCAUACAAGAAAACAAGAUCAUCACGGAGAUACAGUGUAUAUUUCUCAACGAAAUCUUGGAAAGUGCCUUCCUGGAGAGGAACGUGAAACUUUUGCGGAACUCGAGAGUAAACAGAGUUAUUUCACUGGGGAAGUGUGGAGGGGGAAAAAAAAAGGCAACUUACAACAGAAUAAAAUGAAGUGCAUCUAGAUAGAUACGGAUGUGAGGAUAUAGAUGCCACUUGCAUGAAAUUCCGUCUUCCUUAAUAAAACCCUUGAAACCGA